CCGCACAGGUAGCGCUGAGUGCUGCCGCUUGCAUAUUCCUCUGGGCGGGCCUUAAUUGGCCCGCCCGUGUAAAAUGGUGGUGCGGUGCUGAUUGUGGGUGGCGAUCAGCUUUGCGACUGCUCCCGCCGAUCCAGCCCAACACAGGAAAAAUUCUGCCCAUUAUUUCAAUACAUGUAGGAGACAGAUUAGUAUAUAUCCAACAGUUCCAAAAUAGCAGAAUAUGUUGAAUAGUGCAGUCUAAGGAAUCAGCUUCGAUUUUGGUUAGUAAAAUUGUUGACCAAACAUCAAAUAAUCUCAAAUCAGCAUCUAGUUCUGGGAUGUUUUAAAUCAAAUGUGUAAAUGAAGCACAGGGUUAUAGCAGUGACUUAAUCCGUGGAUAAAAAGCCUACUUGGCAUUACUACCAUGUGAAGCCUGAAGUAUUAUCUGAUACAUUUUCUGCAAAUACCUUUGACACAAAACUUGAACUUCCUGCCUGUCAGCUUCAUGCCUCAUUUAUUGCAAUUUUAAAAAUUCUGGCAGUUAGCUUCUGUUGCAAAAUAUAUUGGGAAGGAUUUUUAGGAUUGCAGAGUUUCCCCUCCCACCAGACACUGUCUGCCCCGCAGCAAUUUCACGCUCCAAUGAGUGUUUAUUAGCUGCAUGUAGGACUUCUGCCCCUCACCCGGGAGGAAGUUCCACCCUGGAGAGCUGCUGGCCAAUCUGAUUGGCUGACAGCUCUCCAGUCCCUGCAGUGCCAGAAGCUGCAGUGGUCAGGCCUGGGACUGCAUGCAGUCCCCAGAUCCUCAGUCCCGGAAUUCCAGGAAGAGUUUUUCAGAAGUCACCAUGAUGUUUGGCUUUCUCAACAAAGUCCUAUAUUGUGAUCACCAGUCUAUUUUAUCUGGUUACAGCUCAAUACAGGGUAAGCAUCAUCGAUUUCCUUCAGUAGUUCAAGAGAUUUCAUUUUUGUCUCGGCCUGCAACAAUAGCGACUGUCUCUCUAGCUUACCUGUACUGCAUAAGGUGGCUGCAUCACACUGGCAACUUGAACAUUGGAUUCUUGAAAGUUACUUACUGUGUACUGAAGCUUCCUGGAGCAUAUGGAGAAAGCUAAAUUUAUUUGCUUUUCUAAAAAAACAAAAUGGAAAGCAAACACAUUCUUUGAAAAUGAAACUUUUUCAUAUGUAACCCUUUUCAACCUGAAGCCAGGCUUCCUCAUAGACUCUGCACUUUCACUGAUACAGUAGAGCUGAAUAUCAGACCAUGUAGUUUACCCAGUCCUUGUGAAGGGCUGCCAAUACACGGUUUGCAGCCUUAUGGUUCCCUGGAUAACCAUGCGCAAAGCUUUAACACUGUAGCAAAGUCACAGAAAUUAGUCAUCUUCACUUCCGAUGAAAGGAGAGAGGUUUUAAAAAAAAAAACACGUUCACCAAUUUUCAUUUAAUUUGAAGUUGUCUUCACAAAUAUUAACAUCUUUUUAUUUUGGUAACUGGGAAUUGUAAAGAUAAUAAACCGUUUUUAAAAAAAAAAAGACUUGUAAAGUAGAAAGGACAAGUUUCUAAGAACAAUAAAAAAGGGCAAUGCUGUACAGUUGUGUAAAUGUCGCUAUUCAUAAAUGUUUUUUUGUGUAGCAUAGUGUAAAAUAAAUCAGACACGCUGAAUGCAGUGUUAAUCUGUGAAUUGUAAUUUAAAAAAAGCCAUGCAUGGUCAAUUAUUUACUUCACAAAUUGCUCAUUAUAGAUAAGGGAGUUUGUUAUAUGUUACUUUUAUGUGUGUCUGAAACUGCAUUUGUUGUGUAUUUUUAUUUCAAGAACUUGAAACUACUGUUGUUGAACUAUUCACUCCACAGCCAACAUAUAUACAGCCUUAGGAAGCCUUGUUGCUGCAUUAAUUAAUACUAGUGGGAAGGAAAGUCCGCCUACUCUGUCCAUCUUUCCGUCUGCCUGCCCUACUCCCUGCUCUACUAGUUUUGCAACAUUCACCAAGAUACUUCCAGUGCCAUUCAGAGUAAACCUGUGAAACUGGCCACAGAGCCCUGUAUUUUAAUUCUCACCACAACUCUAGCAGUUCAAUAGCUUGCAGCAACAGUACUGUGUACAAACAUAUUGCAAUAAAGCUUUACUAAGCACA